CUUUAACAUUAAUAUCUUCAUUUUAUUUGAAAAAUAUGGAAAAUAGAAAUUAGAUCCCAAAGUAACAACCUUUUCGAUCUUUGAAUUGCACCUAUCCCUAAAACACCCCAACUACUAGUACUUAAAGAAGAUUCGCGUUAAUUUUUAGUUUUGUACAAUGCACUUAAUGCAUUAAAAUAAAAAUAUGAGCACCCAAAUCCCUUGAAAGAAGUAAUACAUCAGUGUCAGGAACACUGGGUGACUUUAUCUUUCAAAGUCUAAGAAUGCAAAGUUCACAAACUCUCAGGAAAUGUUGGUCGACAAUAAUGUAUUCAAGGGAACGAAAUUAUCCCAAUUACAAAUGUAUUUCUACAGUAUUCAUUUUUCUCCUAAUAUGAUGGAGGAUCUGGAUUGAAUUUCACUGAUUCCCUCCAAAUGAGUUCCUUGAUGUGCUCUUCAGUACAUGAUGGGAGCUCAAAAUCAAAAUGAAAAGGCCUGGGACAGACCGGCUCAUCAUUGAUAUCAUGGAGAGAUGACAAGUAUGGGUGACAAAGUGCCUCAUCAACUGUAAUGCGCUUAUUGGGAUCAAAAACAAGCAUUUUUUCCAGCAGAUCAGCAGCCCCAGUAGACACAUUAGGAAACCUAACUGAGAAAUUCUUCUUUCUGUAUUGUGGAAGCUGUCUAACAUAUCUUCGGGCAUUAUCACUUCGGAGAAAACCAAGGCUAGCGUCAUCAGGUGAACCUAUUAACUUUUAGACAAAAAGAAAAACAAAUGCAUGUAUGAUUUUGCUAUUAACAACUUAAUGAAAGAAAAACGAAAUUUCCCCUUAUUAAUCCAUAGAAAACACCACAUGCAAAAGAGCUUCCAUGAAACAAAAUGUUAGCUUUACCAAAUAGUCUAAUGUUUUGCUUGACGACUCUUGCAAAUGUAAUAAUCAUUUGCCCUGCUUUCUACAAAUUUAGAGGUUCAAAAGAAACUUUGGAACUGGGAACCUGCCCACCAGAUAACAUUGCUCUUUUUAACUCCAAAUUUACACACUAUAAGUAAUUAAUGGUUAAAUGAAAGAAUAAACACCAAGUGACUAGACAUGUGUUCUACUAUAGUAGCGUGUAAGUUUUAUUUUCUUCAGGAAGAGAGAGAAAGAAGGGGUGGGGGGAGACAAAACAGGCUGCCUUUUUUCAAUUUGUAAAAACUAAUAACAUACUAGCUCCAAAACUCAUACCUCUGUAAUAAGCCUCAGCUGGUGAACAUAAUCUUUCCCGGGAAACAAAGGUUCUCUGGUCAUAAUCUCACCAAGGAUGCAACCAACAGACCAAAUAUCAAUUGCAGCCGUGUACUCAGAACAAUUAAGGAGCAAUUCUGGUGCUCGGUACCAACGAGUAACAACGUACUCAGUCAUGAAAUCUGUUUCAGAUGUUGUCCUUGCCAAUCCAAAGUCUCCAAUUUUGAGAUCACAAUUUGCAUUGAGAAGCAAAUUGCUGGGCUUAAGAUCACGAUGCAGGACAUUGGCGGAAUGCACAUAUUUCAGCCCUCUUAACAACUGAUACAAGAAGUACUGCAAAGAUUUGAUUGAGAAGAUAUCAAAUUCAAACUUUAAUAGACAUUGUUUCUGGCUUUCAAUCAAGCUGCAAUAAGCACCAAUUUUUUGCUUAUUCCCUUUCUUAUCAGCCUUGCUUUAUGUGAUCUUGUGUCUAUUAGAGAAAGACUAAGGGUUCGAGGUAUAUUAUAAAUUAUAGAUUCUGACAAUGUGAUCAGAGAGUUCAUCAAUCAGCAAGACAGCACCUGAUGAGCUAUAUGGUUUUCAGCUAAACUAAUCAGAAGGCAAAAAAACCAACAAGUUAUUCUGGGUGCCAAACCUGACAAUGAUCAUCAGUCAGCAGUUGAUCUGAACGAAUAAUGUGAUGAAGAUCAGUGUCCAUCAAUUCAGAAACAAUGUACACAUCAUUGAAAGCCUCCUUUUUUGGUGGCCGUAUAAUGUCCCUCAUGGCAAUAACCUGUACAAGGGAAAUAGGGGCAAAACUAAACAUAAUAAUGGGAAGAAAUGGAAGAGUGAUGAUGUAUAACCACCUCCAAACAUACAUAUAAAGGUAAACCCACAAAGCCACAGGGAAGAGCAGAAGUGGUGUAUAAAAGGAGUCUGGUUCAAUUGCAAGGAUGCUAUCGAUAAAAAGCAAUUAUUGGUAUGUACAAAGUAUUCUAGUUCAAAACAUGGACCGCAAAUUGGUGUAUUUAACAGAGACACAAAUCCCCUUUCCUGAAUCUAUACUGUUAACAGUUUCUUAAAACAAAUAAAUGCUUAAAAGCCCUAUCAUUCUACGCAUGCAUUUAGUACUAAAAAUACAGCUAGUGUGUCCUGUAUUAAUAUGAUAUCAAUAUUAGGAAUUUAGGAUAGACCACAACUCCAUUUGUGCAUCUUGAAUUUUGGGAUAAGAGAGAAAUGACCAUGGCAAAAAACAAGCAGGAAAAACAGAAAGCAUGUAGGCAAUAAUAAAAUUUGGAAAUUCAAGGCUUACUGAAAAUUACAUUUUCAUGGUCCAUGUGGCGAAGAAGCUUAAUCUCUCUCAACGUUCUUUUGGCAUCUAUUCUGUUGUCAAAAGCAUUACCAAUCUUCUUAAUGGCAACUUCCUCACGUGUCUCUGAAUUCACAGCAGCACUGAGAAGAAAGCAUUUGUAUAUUACCACUCCUUCCACCACACAGUAAAUGGUAUAACAAAUGGACAAAAAGAUAUGGUUUUCAUGGAGUUUCUUAAUGGGAAAAGAGCAUCUUUAGACAGUUUCUCAAACUUAUCAAUCGUUUCAACAUACAUUAUAAGUGGGAAAAGGUAAUCGAAGCCAUAUUUACCAAAGCUCCAAAAAGGAAAAAUAUCCCACACAUAAAAUCUAUGCACUUAUCAAAGACAUACAUAACUUAAUGAGAAUGAUCAAUAAGAACAAAUAUAUUUGGCAACUGCUACAUGAAUAUGAAAAUUAUCCAUUUGUCUCAUCCGGAAAUAAACAAUAGAAACAUGCUCUUUCCACACCCUUUAUGUAUCGAAAACCCUUUUUGGGCGGUAAUUGCCUCCCAAUCCUUGAUAAAUUGUGUAAAUCCUGCUGAAAGACUAUUAAUUAUACUAUUCAAGAUAUCAAACAACAAGGUUAACAAAAAAGGUUAAUUAAAAUAACAGUA
rnacentral:misc_RNA from 1 species